rnacentral:rRNA from 1 species
UACCUGACCUAGCGGCGGACGGGUGAGUAAUGCUUAGGAAUCUGCCUAUUAGUGGGGGACAACAUCUCGAAAGGGAUGCUAAUACCGCAUACGUCCUACGGGAGAAAGCAGGGGACCUUCGGGCCUUGCGCUAAUAGAUGAGCCUAAGUCGGAUUAGCUAGUUGGUGGGGUAAAGGCCUACCAAGGCGACGAUCUGUAGCGGGUCUGAGAGGAUGAUCCGCCACACUGGGACUGAGACACGGCCCAGACUCCUACGGGAGGCAGCAGUGGGGAAUAUUGGACAAUGGGGGGAACCCUGAUCCAGCCAUGCCGCGUGUGUGAAGAAGGCCUUUUGGUUGUAAAGCACUUUAAGCGAGGAGGAGGCUACCGAGAUUAAUACUCUUGGAUAGUGGACGUUACUCGCAGAACAAGCACCGGCUAACUCUGUGCCAGCAGCCGCGGUAAUACAGAGGGUGCAAGCGUUAAUCGGAUUUACUGGGCGUAAAGCGCGCGUAGGUGGCCAAUUAAGUCAAAUGUGAAAUCCCCGAGCUUAACUUGGGAAUUGCAUUCGAUACUGGUUGGCUAGAGUAUGGGAGAGGAUGGUAGAAUUCCAGGUGUAGCGGUGAAAUGCGUAGAGAUCUGGAGGAAUACCGAUGGCGAACGCAGCCAUCUGGCCUAAUACUGACACUGAGGUGCGAAAGCAUGGGGAGCAAACAGGAUUAGAUACCCUGCUAGUCCAUGCCGUAAGCGAUGUCUACUAGCCGUUGGGGCCUUUGACGCUUUAAUGGCACAGCUAACGCGAUAAGUAGACCGCCUGGGGAG